AUUGAACGCUGGCGGCAGGCCUAACACAUGCAAGUCGAACGAGUGGCGGACGGGUGAGUAAUGUCUGGGAAACUGCCCGAUGGAGGGGGAUAACUACUGGAAACGGUAGCUAAUACCGCAUACCAUCGGAUGUGCCCAGAUGGGAUUAGCUAGUAGGUGGGGUAACGGCUCACCUAGGCGACGAUCCCGAGCUGGUCUGAGAGGAUGACCAGCCACUCUGGAACUGAGCCACGGUCCAGACUCCUACGGGAGGCAGCAGUGGGGAAUAUUGCACAAUGGGCGCAAGCCUGAUACAGCCAUGCCGCGUGUUUGAAGAAGGCCUUCGGGUUGUAAAGUACUUUCAGCGAGGAGGCGUUACUCACAGAAGAAGCACCGGCUAACUCCGUGCCAGCAGCCGCGGUAAUAC
rnacentral:rRNA from 1 species